UUCCUCCUCAAGGCCAGGGAGUAAUGUCAUCUACAAACCUCUCCAGCGAUGAACACUUCCUGCAGACUGUGAUGGGCUGAUGGUGUGUGCGUGCGUGCGUGCGUGUUUGUGUGUGUGUGCGUGUGUGUGUGCGUGUGUGCGUGUGUGUGAUCUGCUGGUGAAUACUGUAAAUAUAGUCACAGUUGUGUUCCAGGCCUCGUCUCUGCUCCACUGGUGGUCAUGCGCAGGCGUUUAUUUAAGUCAAAUGUAAUGAAACAGCUGGAUGUAUAUGGAGAGAGCUGCCUGCACACAAACAUGACCCUGAACUCAUCGACGGCUCCCCCACAGCACAGCACAUAUCAGUCAGACAUUACCGCUGAAGCGCUUCACUGAUGACGAGAACUAGAAGAGCGAGUCUGGAGGUGUGGCGCCACCUGCUGGACAUCUGCUGUCAGUGUAUUUUAGCCUGUAUUUACAAAAAGAACAUUUGAUAUUUGUGGAAAAUCUGAUCAUUCAAGUAACUACAGAUGUGCAUCGAGGAGAUUCAGUGUUGAUGAAGAGCUUUGGGCAAACAUAUGAUCACAUUUCCUUCUAAAACACUCCGCCAUAUGCUGCUGUACUGUAGAGUCUUGUACCACACAGCGUCCCGCAUCAUCUGCUGAAGAAGUGUGUGCAUGUCUGAAAGGAAAGAGCUGGAAAAGACCUUAAAUGUGACUAGUAAAGGUGUAAGAGCCGCGUGUCUGCUGAAAUAACCCAUCAGAGGGGACUGUGUGGGUCAGAAUCAGCUCUUCACCCGUCUAAACACAGAAAGCUGGAGUAAGUUUGAUUGACCAAUGACAUGUCACUGAAUUAAACAGGAGUUUGGGUCACUGAAGCAUGAAUAUUCAUUACACAAUCUGCUGAAAUAGCGAAUCCCCUGCAGAAGAUGGAGUCCUCCAGAACCACACACACACACACACACACACACACACACACACACACACACACACACACACACACACAGGACUCUGUGACUGAGUCUGCGGUGAUGGUCUACUCUUCCCUGCUGAUGACCUCUGACCUGCCUCAGUCUGAAUGUUCUGAAUGUCUUCAUCUUCAAACUGAAAGCUGUAUUUGUAUAAUCUGCUCCUCUGCAGUCUGUGUGAGGAUGUCUGUAAAACUCUGACUCGCAUUCGGCUGUCUUUAAUUCACAUUUUCAAUAUUCAAGUUCAGAAAGUCAAGCUCAAACUAAGAAACUCAAAGGGAAAACAUAAUAUUCAGAUUUACUAAAGUACAAUUGAUAAUAACUCAAAGAAUCGCUUCAUAUUCACAAUGUUUCUGCAGAUGUAAAGCUCCAUAAUGGAGGCGGGGACUAAUCUGCAUAUUCAUGAGCACACACUUAAUGAGGUUUGAGUGGCAUUAGGGCAUUAUUCUCUAAGUAAUGUGUGUGUGUGUGUGUGUGUGUGUGUGUGUGUGUGUGUGUGCUUUAUUAAAAUAAGAUGACUGCAUGAGAACUUAUCAGGAAAGUCAAAUCUAGCGCAUGUCUGCAGGUGUACUGUGUGUUCAUGCGUGUAUCAGUGUGUAUUAAACAUUAAAGCCAGAAAUGCAAACACUGAGCUGAGUUUCUAUUUCAUGUCCAUUAUUAUUAAAUGAUGUGCUGAAUAAUAAAACUCUGCUGUCCUCACUGA